rnacentral:rRNA from 1 species
GGGGAAUUUUUCGCAAUGGGGGAAACCCUGACGAAGCAACGCCGCGUGGAGGAUGAAGGCCUUCGGGUCGUAAACUCCUGUCGACCGGGACGAACGCUAUCUGGCCUAAUACGCCGGGUAGUCGACUGUACCGGUAGAGGAAGCCACGGCUAACUCUGUGCCAGCAGCCGCGGUAAUACAGAGGUGGCAAGCGUUGUUCGGAAUUACUGGGCGUAAAGGGCGAGUAGGCGGUCUUUUAAGUUCCGUGUGAAAUCCCUCGGCUCAACUGGGGAACGGCACGGGAAACUGGAAGGCUUGAGUUCGGGAGAGGGAAGCGGAAUUCCGGGUGUAGCGGUGAAAUGCGUAGAUAUCCGGAGGAACACCGGUGGCGAAGGCGGCUUCCUGGACCGACACUGACGCUGAGGCGCGAAAGCUAGGAGAGCAAA